rnacentral:rRNA from 1 species
CUCAAAUGUAUGUUGACGUAUUCUGAAAGGGAUACUUCUUCGGACAAUAUACAAGGUGCUGCAUGGUUGUCGUCAGCUCGUGCCGUGAGGUGUCGGGUUAAGUCCCAUAACGAGCGCAACUCCUACCUUUAGUUGCCAUCAGGUUAAGCUGGGGACUCUAAAGGAACUGCCUACGCAAGUAGUGAGGAAGGCGGGGAUGACGUCAAAUCAGCACGGCCCUUACGUCCAGGGCUACACACGUGCUACAAUGGCCGAUACAGAGGGCAGCUACCUGGUGACAGGAUGCAAAUCUCCAAAGUCGGUCUCAGUUCGGAUCGGAGUCUGCAACCCGACUCCGUGAAGUUGGAUUCGCUAGUAAUCGCGCAUCAGCCAUGGCGCGGUGAAUACGUUCCCGGGCCUU